GUGGGGAAUAUUGGACAAUGGGGGGAACCCUGAUCCAGCCAUGCCGCGUGUGUGAAGAAGGCCUUUUGGUUGUAAAGCACUUUAAGCGAGGAGGAGGCUACCGAGAUUAAUACUCUUGGAUAGUGGACGUUACUCGCAGAAUAAGCACCGGCUAACUCUGUGCCAGCAGCCGCGGUAAUACAGAGGGUGCAAGCGUUAAUCGGAUUUACUGGGCGUAAAGCGCGCGUAGGUGGCCAAUUAAGUCAAAUGUGAAAUCCCCGAGCUUAACUUGGGAAUUGCAGUCGAUACUGGUUGGCUAGAGUAUGGGAGAGGAUGGUAGAAUUCCAGGUGGAGCGGUGAAAUGCGUAGAGAUCUGGAGGAAUACCGAUGGCGAAGGCAGCCAUCUGGCCUAAUACUGACACUGAGGUGCGAAAGCAUGGGGAGCAAACAGGAUUAGAUACCCCGGUAGUCC
rnacentral:rRNA from 1 species